GACGAACGCUGGCGGCGUGCUUAACACAUGCAAGUCGAACGGAAAGGCCCUGCUUUUGUGGGGUGCUCGAGUGGCGAACGGGUGAGUAACACGUGAGUAACCUGCCCUUGACUUUGGAAUAACUUCAGGAAACUGGGGCUAAUACCGGAUAGGAGCUCCUGCUGCAUGGUGGGGGUUGGAAAGUUUCGGCGGUUGGGGAUGGACUCGCGGCUUAUCAGCUUGUUGGUGGGGUAGUGGCUUACCAAGGCUUUGACGGGUAGCCGGCCUGGGGGGGUGACCGGCCCCAUUGGGCCUGGGGAACGCCCCGGACUCCUCCGGGCGGAAGGGGUGGGGAUUUUUCCAAAAGGGGCGGAGGCAGUGUGGAGCACCGCCGGGUGGGGGAUGACGGCUUUCGGGUUGUAACCCAUUUUCGCCUUACCCGACGCGUGGGUACCGGUAAUGGGUAAAAAAGCACCGCCAACCUCCUU
rnacentral:rRNA from 1 species